UACGAAGGGGGCUAGCGUUGCUCGGAAUCACUGGGCGUAAAGCGCACGUAGGCGGCUUUUUAAGUCAGGGGUGAAAUCCUGGAGCUCAACUCCAGAACUGCCUUUGAUACUGAGAAGCUUGAGUCCGGGAGAGGUGAGUGGAACUGCGAGUGUAGAGGUGAAAUUCGUAGAUAUUCGCAAGAACAUCAGUGGCGAAGGCGGCUCACUGGCCCGGUACUGACGCUGAGGUGCGAAAGCGUGGGGAGCAAACAGG
rnacentral:rRNA from 1 species